ACUCAAAGGAAUUGACGGGGACCCGCACAAACGGUGGAGCAUGUGGUUUAAUACGACGAUACGCGUGGAACCUUACCCAGACUUGACAUGUAUCAGAAAGCCUUAUGAAAGUAGGGCCCUCCCUUCCGGGACUGUUACACAGGUGUUGCAUGGCUGUCGUCAGCUCGUGUCGUGAGAUGUUGGGUUAAGUCCCGCAACGAGCGCAACCCUCAUUUUUAGUUGCUAAUCCGCAAGGAUGCACUCUAAAGAGACUGCCGCUGAUAAAGCGGAGGAAGGUGGGGAUGACGUCAAGUCAGUACGGCCCUUACGUCUGGGGCUACACACGUGCUACAAUGGUCGGUACAAAAGGUUGCGAUAUCGCGAGAUGGAGCCAAUCCUGAAAACCGAUCUCAGUUCGGACUGCAGGCUGCAACUCGCCUGCAUGAAGCCGGAAUCGUUAGUAACCCUAUAUCAGCCACGAUAGGGUGAAUACGUUCCCGGGUCUUGCACACACCGCCCGU
rnacentral:rRNA from 1 species